UAACCGGAAUGCGGACUCGCGGCCCAACCUCCCACCCGUGUCUCUCUCUACCUGUUGCUUUGGCGGGCCCACCGGGGCCACCCGGUCGCCGGGGGACGUCCGUCUCCGGGCCCGCGCCCGCCGAAGCGCCCUGUGAACCCUGAUGAAGAUGGGCUGUCUGAGUCGCAUGAAAAUUGUCAAAACUUUCAACAAUGGAUCUCUUGGUUCCGGCAUCGAUGAAGAACGCAGCGAAAUGCGAUAAGUAAUGUGAAUUGCAGAAUUCCGUGAAUCAUCGAAUCUUUGAACGCACAUUGCGCCCCCUGGCAUUCCGGGGGGCAUGCCUGUCCGAGCGUCAUUUCUGCCCUCAAGCGCGGCUUGUGUGUUGGGCGUGGUCCCCCCGGGGACCUGCCCGAAAGGCAGCGGCGACGUCCGUCCGGUCCUCGAGCGUAUGGGGCUCUGUCACUCGCUCGGGACGGAUCGGCGGAGGUUGGUCACCACCACAGUUUUACCACGGUUGACCUCGGAUCAGGUAGGAGUUACCCGCUGAACUUAAGCAUAUCAAAAGCCGGAGGAA
rnacentral:rRNA from 1 species